AUUGUAAUGGUGAAGCUAAUCACAAAAUAAUUUCAUUAUUUAGUUGCCCAAUGUGGCUUACAAUA
rnacentral:tRNA from 1 species